rnacentral:lncRNA from 1 species
GGGGGCGAAGUAACUAAAGAUCGACGAGCGGAGCGAGGCAAAAAAAAUUUGGGACCUUUUUUAGACUAAAAACAUAAAAUAAGUGUAAAAUGCAGUUUAAACAGUUCUUGACUUUGGGUAUGUAUAUUUUAUAGUUGCUGUAAAGUGUAAGAGUUGGACAUUUUUUAUGCCGUAUUCUCCACAUUAAUUGUCUAUUAUAAAAUGAUUGGAUGGAUUCAAAGCUAUGUACUAAUAUAUUUGAUUGGGACUUGCUAGUUAAAAAUGGACAUGGAAAAUUCUCGUUUGUUGUAUGUUUAGUUAGUAUCAAGAUAUACGCCGUGCUAUUCGAUGAAAUUUACAAUACGACCGACACGAGUUAAGAAACAAACAGACAAUUUUUAUCCAAAUGUGUGGUCGAAAUGUUUCCGCCAACAAGGGAAAUGAGGGGUUCCAAAUCAA